rnacentral:rRNA from 1 species
GGUGUUGUUGGGUAGGGGAGCGUUCUGUAAGCCUGUGAAGGUGGCCUGUGAGGGUUGCUGGAGGUAUCAGAAGUGCGAAUGCUGACAUAAGUAACGAUAAAGCGGGUGAAAAGCCCGCUCGCCGGAAGACCAAGGGUUCCUGUCCAACGUUAAUCGGGGCAGGGUGAGUCGACCCCUAAGGCGAGGCCGAAAGGCGUAGUCGAUGGGAAACGGGUUAAUAUUCCCGUACUUGGUGUUACUGCGAAGGGGGGACGGAGAAGGCUAUGUUGGCCGGGCGACGGUUGUCCCGGUUUAAGCGUGUAGGUGUGUGUUCCAGGUAAAUCCGGUUCACUUUAACACUGAGGCGUGAUGACGAGGCACUACGGUGCUGAAGCAACAAAUGCCCUGCUUCCAGGAAAAGCCUCUAAGCAUCAGGUAACAUCAAAUCGUACCCCAAACCGACACAGGUGGUCAGGUAGAGAAUACCAAGGCGCUUGAGAGAACUCGGGUGAAGGAACUAGGCAAAAUGGUGCCGUAACUUCGGGAGAAGGCACGCUGACAUGUAGGUGAAGUGAUUUACUCA